rnacentral:rRNA from 1 species
GUGGGGAAUAUUGGACAAUGGGCGAAAGCCUGAUCCAGCCAUGCCGCGUGUGUGAAGAAGGUCUUCGGAUUGUAAAGCACUUUAAGUUGGGAGGAAGGGCAGUAAGUUAAUACGUUGCUGUUUUGACGUUACCGAAAGAAUAAGCACCGGCUAACUUCGUGCCAGCAGCCGCGGUAAUACGAAGGGUGCAAGCGUUAAUCGGAAUUACUGGGCGUAAAGCGCGCGUAGGUGGUUUUGUAAGUUGGAGGUGAAAUCCCCGGGCUCAACCUGGGAACUGCCUCCAAAACUGCAUGACUAGAGUACGGUAGAGGGUAGUGGAAUUUCCUGUGUAGCGGUGAAAUGCGUAGAUAUAGGAAGGAACACCAGUGGCGAAGGCGACUACCUGGACUGAUACUGACACUGAGGUGCGAAAGCGUGGGGAGCAAACAGGAUUAGAUACCCGGGUAGUCC